rnacentral:rRNA from 1 species
CUCCGGUGGUAUGAGAUGGACCCGCGUCUGAUUAGCUAGUUGGUGGGGUAACGGCCUACCAAGGCGACGAUCAGUAGCCGACCUGAGAGGGUGACCGGCCACAUUGGGACUGAGACACGGCCCAAACUCCUACGGGAGGCAGCAGUGGGGAAUAUUGCACAAUGGGGGAAACCCUGAUGCAGCGACGCCGCGUGAGCGAUGAAGUAUUUCGGUAUGUAAAGCUCUAUCAGCAGGGAAGAAAAUGACGGUACCUGACUAAGAAGCCCCGGCUAAAUACGUGCCAGCAGCCGCGGUAAUACGUAUGGUGCAAGCGUUAUCCGGAUUUACUGGGUGUAAAGGGAGCGUAGACGGUUGUGUAAGUCUGAUGUGAAAGCCCGGGGCUCAACCCCGGGACUGCAUUGGAAACUAUGUAACUAGAGUGUCGGAGAGGUAAGCGGAAUUCCUAGUGUAGCGGUGAAAUGCGUAGAUAUUAGGAGGAACACCAGUGGCGAAGGCGGCUUACUGGACGAUCACUGACGUUGAGGCUCGAAAGCGUGGGGAGCAAACAGAAUUAGAUACCCUGGUAGUCCACGCCGUAAACGAUGACUACUAGGUGUCGGGGAGCAAAGCUCUUCGGUGCCGCAGCAAACGCAAUAAGUAGUCCACCUGGGGAGUACGUUCGCAAGAAAUGAAACUCAAAGGAAUUGACGGGGACCCGCACAAGCGGUGGAGCAUGUGGUUUAAAUUCGAAGCAACGCGAAGAGCCUUACCUGGUCUUGACAUCCCGGUGACCGGCAAGUAAUGUUGCCUUUCCUUCGGGACACCGGUGACAGGUGGUGCAUGGUUGUCGUCAGCUCGUGUCGUGAGAUGUUGGGUUAAGUCCCGCAACGAGCGCAACCCCUAUCUUCAGUAGCCAGCAUUUAAGGUGGGCACUCUGGAGAGACUGCCAGGGAUAACCUGGAGGAAGGUGGGGAUGACGUCAAAUCAUCAUGCCCCUUAUGACCAGGGCUACACACGUGCUACAAUGGCGUAAACAAAGGGAAGCGAACCUGUGAGGGGAAGCAAAUCUCAAAAAUAACGUCUCAGUUCGGAUUGUAGUCUGCAACUCGACUACAUGAAGCUGGAAUCGCUAGUAAUCGCGAAUCAGCAUGUCGCGGUGAAUACGUACCCGGGUCUUGCACACACCGCCCGUCA